AAACUUAACUAUACAAAUUACAAAGGGAUAAUCUUGUACAACAUAAACACAUAAACUAAGGACAAGAUUGUUCAACUAAAGAACUUGGGAUCAUAGCCAUUGCUGGAGGUGGCCAAGAUAUAGUAAGCAACAAUAUGACCCAGGGAUCCCCAAGCCAGAACAUCCACCAGGUUGAAUCCCACCGGAUCGUUGGAUUUCAGGAGGCUAACAUACUCCUUGGCUCGAGUGUCACCCGCUUCGAAAUGGGUCAACCCGUUUUGCUCAGGCACUUGCUUCGCCACGUUCUCUCUUUGGAAGUUGAAGAACACGAACCGACCCAAGAAAAGGGAGAGGCCUGUGCUUAGGCUUAUCACCACUGGGGCGCUUAGCUCAGCCUUCACACCACCAACCUUUCUACCACAAGACAAGGGGGCGAGCUUGGAGGAGGGGGCCUUGCGCAGGGGCCUGAGGCCUUGGAACGAUGGAGUGGCGAUGUUGUGGCGGCUGCCAUGUUUGUUUUGGAGGGUGGUGGUGAAGAUGGGGGUUAACAAAGCUGAGGCUGAUGCCAUGGCUGCCUGAGUGUGUG
rnacentral:lncRNA from 1 species